UACGUAGUUAGCCGUGGCUUCCUCCUCAGGUACCGUCAUUAUCGUCCCUGAAGACAGAGCUUUACAACCCGAAGGCCGUCAUCACUCACGCGGCGUUGCUGCAUCAGGGUUUCCCCCAUUGUGCAAUAUUCUCCACUGCUGCCUCCCGUAGGAGUCUGGGCCGUGUCUCAGUCCCAAUGUGGCCGAUCACCCUCUCAGGUCGGCUACGCAUCGUCGCCUUGGUGAGCCGUUACCUCACCAACUAGCUAAUGCGCCGCGGGCCCAUCUCAUAGCGGAUUGCUCCUUUAAUUGCUACUUCAUGCGAAGCUACAAUCUUAUGCGGUAUUAAUCUCCCUUUCGGAAGGCUAUUCCCCCUCUAUGAGGCAGGUUGCCCACGUGUUACUCACCCGUCCGCCGCUAGCUUUGUUCCGAAGAACUCCACUCGCUCGACUUGCAUGUGUUAGGCACGCCGCCAGCGUGUCCUCGUGCCACGAGUCAACUAC
rnacentral:rRNA from 1 species